rnacentral:tRNA from 1 species
GGGGAUGUGGCUCAAGCGGUAGCGCGUUUGCCUGGCAUGCACCGGGUGCUGAGUUCUAUCCUCAGCACCACA